GACGAACGCUGGCGGCGUGCUUAACACAUGCAAGUCGAACGGAAAGGCCCUGCUUUUGUGGGGUGCUCGAGUGGCGAACGGGUGAGUAACACGUGAGUAACCUGCCCUUGACUUUGGGAUAACUUCAGGAAACUGGGGCUAAUACCGGAUAGGAGCUCCUGAUGCAUGGUGGGGGUUGGAAAGUUUCGGCGGUUGGGGCUGGUUUGGCGGCUUAUCAGCUUGUUGGUGGGGUAGUGGCUUACCAAGGCUUUGACGGGUGGCCGGCCUGGGAGGGUGACCGGGCACAUUGGGACUGAGGUACGGCCCAGACUCCUACGGGAGGCAGCGGUGGAGAAUAUUGCACAAUGGGCGGAAGCCUGAUGCAGCAACGCCGGGUGCGGGAUGACGGCCUUCGGGUUGUAAACCGCUUUCGCCUGUGACGAAGAGUGAGUGACGGUAAUGGGUAAAGAAGCACCGGCUAACUACGUG
rnacentral:rRNA from 1 species